UUGAUCCAUUUGUUGUUUUGUAAGAGGUCCUCUUACUUUAACUUUCUAAGAGAGUGUUCUCUAUGAUUAUUGCGAGGCAACCAUGUAAUCCUGCCUUACUCAAUUAGCAUAGAGCUCAGUAAAUAAAGAAGAAAGCUUCAAAGGCCCCAGUCAGCUAUCCUCCCAAGGGCGGAUGUUCUUGCUAUUUCCCAAUUUAAAUGAUAAAUAGUUUCAAAAGACUUUAAGUUGUUUACUGAUGUCUUUCCAAAUAGAAGAUAAACUUUUGAGAUUUUUUCUAAUCAUCGUUCCAAAUUACUUCCGGCGAUAGGAAACUCUUUGAAUAAGGUUUCAUCAAGAAGAGUCAUCCUCCUGCAAAAACUUUCAAGCCUAUUUUGCAAUAAAUGCUAGAUCCAUUUACUAGAUAUAUUUUAGGAGAAGGCUGUCUAUGGCAACUACUAAUAUAGUUGUUUUUUCCAGAGGGAGAAGAAUGGUUUGGUUGGUGAGUCCUCGGAGUUAUGGAGGUGCCGCAGUAAUCGCAUGCUUGCUCACAACAGGCACUUACAAGUCUUAGAGGUACCCCGAGAGAGAGCCUCGUCAUCGGCAUAUGGGCUUUCUUUAAACUGAGCAGCGGAGAAGUGACUGGGGCUGGUCGGAGGAUAUGGUCUUGUACAUCGGCUAGUUCAGCACCAAUAUAUAGAGCUCCUCAUCCUCCUCUCUCGUGCAGUUCCUCUUCACCGUCCAUAGCAGCAGCGAGUUCAGCGCCGCCUUCAGCCCCUUCAACUGCAUCUCUUUUCCUUCUUGAGAGUAGGCAUAGCAUAAUCAGCCCACCAUCUAUUCGACAAAAAACCCAGUUAGUCAUAGUAGAUCCUGGCCACCACCCGUUCGACAUCUGCUAUUAAUAUCUCCUACUGUGAGCUAUUGAAGAUAAAUCUCUCUCUUUUUUGUUGUUUUGUUCUCUUCCUGUGCAUGGGACCAAAUGAUAAGAUCGAACAUAGAGCUCUUUCUUUUAGUUUUCCUGUUUCUUUCUACGGUGGUUGUUCCUUCCAAAAGAACGCAUCAUUUCUUUAUGACUUGCUACUGUUUGAUGAUAUUCCUAUUUGAAACUUUUAAUAUUAAAUUUACUUAUGAUAACUUUUGAUGAUGAUUUCUUAUUUGGUUGUUGAUUGCAGUUGUCACCGCUAGUGCAGUACAGGAUUAACUUGUAUACUAAAUUUGCAGCCCAAGGUCGUCGCAAUUUCAAAUGCAUUUUCCUUUGCAAAUCCAAAGGCUCCUGUUUAUCCACGGCUCGCACAAGGAAGAUCUUGGAAUGAGGUGGCGCCUGUUUAGGCAUGGGAUGAAUUGCUUUGGACUUCAAUUUUUCUUUUCUAUGUUUCUGUCCACAGUUUCUAAUAAAUUGUAAAAAAUACUUUUGGUUUAUCACAACUUGUCCCAAAAGCUUAAGUUGAUA